GCAGCAAGGGUGGUCUCAACCUGGGUUCAUUCCCCAGCUAAUAAAGUUCGAUUCUUUGUAGCGGCU
rnacentral:tRNA from 1 species